GACGAGGGAUCCUAGCGUUGUUCGGAAUCAUUGGGCGUAAAGCGGGGGCAGGUGGCUCUAUAAGUCAGGUGUGAAAUCCCAGGGCUCAACCCUGGAAGUGCAUUUGAUACUGUAGAGCUUGAGUGCUGGAGAGGUUAUUGGAAUUCCUGGUGUAGUGGUGAAAUACGUAGAUAUCAGGAGGAACAUCGGUGGCGAAGGCGGAUAACUGGCCAGACACUGACACUCAUCCCCGAAAGUGCGGGUAUCAAACAGG
rnacentral:rRNA from 1 species